UUUUAUAAGGAUGCUAUCAAUCUUGUAUUUCUUUUUUUUUCAACAUAUCGCGGUACGUAUUAGUUUCAAAAUUGAUGCAAUAUUGACAAAAGAAAAUGGGGUUGACACAAGUGAAAUUAUAACGAAAUCACACUAAAGUAUGUCCCAAGAUAUCCUUGUCUCAAAAUGUGUUUACUUGUUCAAUAUUUACAUGUACCCAAGGAUUCAAACCAUGUUUAUUCAAAAUUAUGAAAAACACAUUUUAAAUUUUUAACAUAUGUUAGGUUUCAAUGCAUACCUACAUAUGAAAAGUAGAUGUUGGUUAUGCAUUGCAAGCAACAUGAAAGUGUCAAGAUGUUGAUGAGAUAGAACAAUUGUCAGAGGUAUUCCGAGUGUUUUCUGAAUGCUAAAAGAUAUCCGAUUUUCCCAUUAUAAAUCUCCUUGAAAAAUAUGGUUUCAUUCAUAUGAUUUAUUUUAGUAAAAUAAAGAACACAUUUCAAAUCUUGGAAUUUUCUCUUUCAUAUAUUUAAUCUCCUUUGCAUUAUAGGUACAAGUGUGACAAAACAAUAUGUGGUUCAAACUGAAAUUGAUAUUAAAGACAAUAUUUAGUUUCUGGAAAAACACCUGUUCAUCCAAAACUAAGAACUUAAUAUAUUUUGUUUUGUUUCUUUGAAUGAUAUAUAAAUCGUAAUUUUCAGUUUAAUUUAGAAAAUAUUGAUUUCACCCAUUAUUUGUUUUUGUGAAGUCUAACGCAGCAAUUGAAAAUAAAUAAAAAAAAUUUUCGUAACAAUCUUAAUUACUUAUUUUAAAAAAGCUAUUUCAAAUAAUAAAUUUGUCUCCAAAU
rnacentral:sRNA from 1 species